rnacentral:rRNA from 1 species
UACGUAGGCAGCGAGCGUUGUUCGGAGUUACUGGGCGUAAAGGGUGCGUAGGCGGUUGUUUAAGUUUGGUGUGAAAUCUCCCGGCUCAACUGGGAGGGUGCGCCGAAUACUGAAUAACUAGAGUGCGGGAGAGGAGAGUGGAAUUCCUGGUGUAGCGGUGAAAUGCGUAGAUAUCGGAAGGAACACCUGUGGCGAAAGCGGCUCACUGGACCAUUACUGACGCUGAGGCACGAAAGCUAGGGGAGCAAACAGG